GCCCCGGGCAUGGCGGGGCCCCGCGCGGCUCCGGGGAGCGCCGCGAUGCGCAGCGGAGCAUCCCGGGAGAGCCGCGGGAAUGCCCCGGGCAGGGCAGCUGGAAUGGAGCUGGCUCCUAGAAAGGCUGAAUGCUUGGAGUCAGAAAAUUCACUGCUGUCACAUCGUCCCUUGCCUUGGAGCUGGGCUCAGGCUUACAGUGAUUCCUGUUACACACCCUUCCCAUCCCAGGCACGUCUAGGCAUCAUCACUCUGGGCUGAAUCAGACCUGUCUGAGCAUUCACCCUCCUGUCACAGAAGAAGCGAAGGAUGCAGCAAGGCUCAGAGUGGGCGGCUCCAGGUGUCAACUGAGCAGAGUCAGGAUCAGCUGCAGUUAUUCCAGAGUACGUGUCCACGUGCAGAAUAUUCCGGAACA